UUUCCGUAGGUGAACCUGCGGAAGGAUCAUUAGUGAACGCCAUCACGCGCAUAUGACUAUUCCAAACCUUUGUGAACCCUUCCCUUCGGGGCCCUUUUACAAACACAGUGUAACGAUCAUCAUAUAUCGUAACAAAUCCAAACUUUCAACAACGGAUCCCUUGGCUCUC
rnacentral:misc_RNA from 1 species